CUGGUUAGAGCACAUCACUCAUAAUGAUGGGGUCACAGGUUCGAAUCCCGUCGUAGCCACCA
rnacentral:tRNA from 1 species